GGAGGGAUGGCUGAGUGGAUGAAAGAGACGGUCUUGAAAACCGUUACGGGGGCAACCUCAUCGUGGGUUCGAAUCCCUUUCCCUCCGCCA
rnacentral:tRNA from 2 species